GGACAUCUAUGUGGUCACUGAAGGACCAUCAGCUCACCAACAAGGAACUGUUACCUGUUUACGUCUUGGGAUGCGGGCUGGCUUCAUAGGUGUGUGGUCUACAGAUACAUGAGGUCUCCUGCUCAGAACUUGGUUUAAUGUUCCUUGAUGUUGCCAUCUUGAAAAUCUUGAGAAUUUUUGAAAAAGAGGCCCCUCAUUUUCAUUUUGCACUGGACCCUACAAAUUAUGUACCUGGUCCUGCUUCCAUGAGAAAACCAGAAGAAGAAAAUAACAUCAUGUUAAGAGCAUUUUGUAAUGGGAGAUAUAGAAAGGGAGAAUCAUUUGUUAUAUCCGCUUGGAGCUUGUCAUUCAUUGGACUACAAUUAAUCAUAGAUGCUGUCCAUCAAAGUAGGGUUAGAUCUUCACAGUACUCUUCCCCAAGACUAUCACAUCAGAAAUGGCAGCCAAGAAAGGAGCAACAGCCUGAAACUGUGAGACUGACUGAUACCUAAUGGCUUUUCUGGUGAGGACAGACUAUAAGAUCGCUUCAUCACAGUGACGCUUCCUUCUGCAGAGAAAGAGGAAUCAUGGAGUGAGCAUCAGCAAACCAUUAAGUACACAUAGUCCCCAAAGAAAUGUUACUCAGACUGGAG